UACGUAGGGUGCGAGCGUUGUCCGGAAUUAUUGGGCGUAAAGGGCUCGUAGGCGGUUUGUCGCGUCGGGAGUGAAAUCCACUGGCUUAACUGGUGGCUUGCUUUCGAUACGGGCAGGCUAGAGUUCGGCAGGGGAGACUGGAAUUCCUGGUGUAGCGGUGAAAUGCGCAGAUAUCAGGAGGAACACCGGUGGCGAAGGCGGGUCUCUGGGCCGAUACUGACGCUGAGGAGCGAAAGCGUGGGGAGCGAACAGG
rnacentral:rRNA from 1 species